AGCUCUGAGCCCAAGGGGCCAGGGUGCCUGGAAGGGCAGAGUGAGAGCUGGCCACUCUUUCUCCUGCCCCUAACACUAUCUCUGUGCUGGGGAUGGUGUGGAUUCUCCUGCCAUGGGUUCUCAACCUACGGGGUUGCAAAUAGGUCCAGGGGAGGGGAGCAUCUUUGACCACCACCCUCCUUUUCUUUAUGGCUAGAUAGGGGUCUUGAAACUGUUUUCUGUUGUACAGGGUCAUGGCAUGGAAAUAUUAACCACUGCUCUAUGCAAAGAGAAUUCCUAGCUGGGAAGAUCUGCCAGCUUUCCAUCCCCCUUGUGCCACGUGAGUGGGGCCUAGGAUUGACCCAUAGUGUUUAAAAUAGGGUAUGAAGGACUGAGAAGUGGUAGACAUGGGGAUGGUAUCCAAGGGAGUAUAUGUGCAUUUAUUUCCUGAGCAGCUAGAAGCAAGAUGGCUCUCAAGAUCAGCAAACUUUCCUUCCUACACAACGUUAAGAAGACUAAAAAGUUCAUGGAUGAUAUUUUUAGAGAGAAGGUGAAGAAACGGAGAGGAAACGAGAUUUGCCAGACUCAAUGUAAAAUAACAAGAGAUGAAUUUUUCCAGCAGUGCCCCAGGAGUUUUACUUGCUCUGAUGGAAAAAGCUAUUUCCACUUCUUAAAUGGGCAGAAGAGAAGCUGAGGGAGCUCCACCCUGGGACUGAACACGAUUGAUAAGGGAAUAUUCCAAUUAGAGUUUGGAUAGUUGGUGAUAGUUUCGCAUUUGGGCUGAAGUCAUGAGAGGAUGCGAAGACUGAUACAGUGAGAAAACAAAAUAAUUUGAAAGAACAAAGGGAAAACAAGUCUCUUGUAAAAGAACCAGGAAAAUAAGCACUGUAGUAGUGGGGAAAGAAGAAAGUCUAGAA